CCGAAGACCUGAAGCGAAGAGAGGAAGACGGAGACUAAGAAAGGCGCAAAAUUCCUUUCAUUCCACUCGUGCAGUGUUUUCCAGAUUCCUGAAACGACGACAGGGCUUUGGAUGAGAGCAGAGGGUGCCACAAAGGGGAAAUGACAAAACCUUCGCCUGAACAAUCAGAACAGCAUUCCUGAAGUUACCAGACAUACCUCAAGAAGAAUCCUUUACUUCAGGCAGUGCAUGGAAAACUACAUUUCUGGAAUUGAGCAAGUAGAUGACAACACAAUAUAUGGCUUGGCAGGGACUGGAGAUUCUGGGAAAAGAAGUGGAACUUUGGAAUAAGCAAUGGAACACAGUUCUGUCCACUCUUGGCUCGCUAGACCUUGGAAGAACCCUUCAUAUGGUGCUCACAUCUGAGGUUUGCUGUGGAGAAAUUAGUCUUAACUUUCACAGCAAAAAAAUCACCGUUCCUGCUUGGUGUCGGACUCAACUGCUACAUGUCUCUGAGUGAUGAUGAUUAAAUGCAGCCAGACAUCACUUCAGUCUAUUACGAUGGACUUCAGAGGAUGAACUGUUGCCAACUCCAACCAUAAAACAUGGGACACUUCAUAUGACACUGCCUGAACCUUGGACUUAGGAUGGACCCCACCGAACCUCACAGAAACGACCUGCCAGCUGAACUGCGGUGCACCUCACUGAUUUCUGCCUGCAUCACUUUGGUCUAAUGAUGGACUGCACCCUUAAAAUGGAAUGCAUAGACUAUCAAUUAAUUUCCAACAAAAGCCUUCAUCAGCCAACUAACAAAGGACAAUGCAUCUAUGUGAACUUCUGCAGUUAAUCCAGGAUGAAUUUCAAAGACAUUAGUCAUUAAUCUUACAGUUCAUAAAAAACAUUUUUUUAAACAAUGGACCAUAUCACUUACUUAGUUUACUCAUUUUAAACCAUAACUAAUAUCAGCAUUAUAUUCAUGCUUGUUAGCUAGAGGAGAACUGGCCCCCACAGUGAGCCUGGUUUCUCUUAAGGUUAUUUUUCUCCAUUAACCAACAUCUUACGGUGUUUUGUGUUCCUUGCCACAGUCGCCUUCGGCUUGCUCACUGGGGCUUUAAAACAAUUAUGAUUUAAUUACUUAAUUAUUUAUUUUUAUACACAAUUUACAAUCAUAAUUAAUCAAACUACACAAUGAUCACUCUAAGACUUUAUAGAUAUUACAGUUUCAUUUUCUGUUAAUGUAUGAUUUUCUGUAAAGCUGCUUUGAAACGAUGUGUGUUGUGAAAAGCGCUAUACAAAUAAAAAUGACUUGACCUGACUUGACUCGUGUGCCCGCAGUGAGAAGCUUCUCACUUCCGAAUUAUCUUACAUUAAAAUAGCUAUUUGUUGCUGUCUUUUGGAGGAGAAAAACACCAGGCUUAUGUUAUUGUCAAGUUGUAUUUAAACACUGGACACAUUUAACUGCACUUUGGCAGCAAAAUGCUUUUUGCCACGAAAAAUCAGAGGAAAUAGUCAUAAAAAUAAAGAGACAAGGAAAUUAGCCAAGGUGAGAAAUUAUAUGACAUAACCUAAUGAUUUGUUAUUUUAAAAUUUCUUUGUAAACGAAAAUAUGUGGCAAAUUGCAGUUUAGUUUUUUGCUUUGCCCCCUGUUGAACGGUUUUUAUUUAAAUUAGUGUCUAAUUCAAUGACGGAUAUAAAAAUAAAUAAAUAA